UACGUAGGGUGCGAGCGUUAAUCGGAAUUACUGGGCGUAAAGCGUGCGCAGGCGGUGAUGUAAGACCGAUGUGAAAUCCCCGGGCUUAACCUGGGAACUGCAUUGGUGACUGCAUUGCUGGAGUAUGGCAGAGGGGGGUGGAAUUCCACGUGUAGCAGUGAAAUGCGUAGAGAUGUGGAGUAACACCGAUGGCGAAGGCAGCCCCCUGGGCCAAUACUGACGCUCAUGCACGAAAGCGUGGGGAGCAAACAGG
rnacentral:rRNA from 1 species